UACGGAGGAUGCGAGCGUUAUCCGGAUUUAUUGGGUUUAAAGGGUGCGUAGGCGGCCGAGUAAGUCAGCGGUGAAAUUUUGCAGCUUAACUGUAACAGUGCCGUUGAUACUGUUGGACUUGAAUAUGGAUGAGGUAGGCGGAAUGUGUAGUGUAGCGGUGAAAUGCAUAGAUAUUACACAGAACACCGAUUGCGAAGGCAGCUUACUAAUCCAUCAUUGACGCUGAGGCACGAAAGCGUGGGGAUCAAACAGGA
rnacentral:rRNA from 1 species